rnacentral:rRNA from 1 species
GAAAAUAAUCUUGUGAUUGAUUUAACCGUCAUGAUCAAAAAUUAUUAUCAUACUUGGUAGGUGGAAACAUUUACCUUGAUUACUUUGAAAAAAUUAGAGUGUUCAAAGCAAGAUUCACAUCUGAAUAAUACAGCAUGGGAUAAUACAAUAUGACAUUAGUUAAAAUUUGUUGGUUUCUUUGGCUAAUGUA